rnacentral:rRNA from 1 species
GAUGAACGCUAGCGAUAGGCCUAACACAUGCAAGUCGAGGGGCAUCACAUGAAGUAGCAAUACGGAUGGUGGCGACCGGCGCACGGGUGAGUAACACGUAUGCAACCUGCCUUCAACAAGGGGAUAACCCGUUGAAAGACGGACUAAUACCCUAUAACACAGGGGUCCCGCAUGGGGAUAUUUGUUAAAGAUUGAUCGGUUGAAGAUGGGCAUGCGUUCCAUUAGCUGGUUGGUGAGGUAACGGCUCACCAAGGCAACGAUGGAUAGGGGAACUGAGAGGUUUAUCCCCCACACUGGUACUGAGACACGGACCAGACUCCUACGGGAGGCAGCAGUGAGGAAUAUUGGUCAAUGGACGCAAGUCUGAACCAGCCACGUCGCGUGAAGGAAGACGGCCCUACGGGUUGUAAACUUCUUUUGUAAGGGAAUAAGUGUAGUACGCGUACUAUUUUGCAUGUACCUUACGAAUAAGAUCGGCUAACUCCGUGCCAGCAGCCGC